rnacentral:rRNA from 1 species
UACCAGCUCUCCGAGUGGUAGGGAUGAUUAUUGGGCUUAAAGCGUCCGUAGCCGGCUUAGCAGGUCUCCUGUUAAACUCAGCGACCUAAUCGUUGAAUCGCGGGAGAUACUACUAGGCUAGGAGGCGGGAGAGGUCGACGGUACUUCUGGGGUAGGGGUGAAAUCCUAUAAUCCCGGGAGGACCACCAGUGGCGAAAGCUGUCGACUAGAACGCGCUCGACGGUGAGGGACGAAAGCUGGGGUAGCGAACCGGAUUAGAUACCCGGGUGGUCCCAGCCGUAAACGAUGCGAGCUAGGUGUUGGAAUGGCUACGGGCCAUUUCAGUGCCGCAGGGAAGCCAGUAAGCUCGCCGCCUGGGGAGUACGGCCGCAAGGCUGAAACUUAAAGGAAUUGGCGGGGGAGCACCACAAGGCGUGAAGCUUGCGGUUC